rnacentral:rRNA from 1 species
GACAGAGGCCUCGAGCGUUAGGCGGAAUUACUGGGCGUAAAGCGUGCGCAGGCGGUUGUGCAAGACAGAUGUGAAAUCCCCGGGCUUAACCUGGGAAUUGCAUUUGUGACUGCACGGCUAGAGUGUGUUAGAGGGGGGGUAGAAUUCCACGUGUAGCAGUGAAAAUGCGUAGAUAUGUGGAGGAAUACCGAAUGGCGAAGGCAGCCCCCCUGGGAUAACACUGACGCUCAUGCACGAAAAGCGUGGGGGAGCAAAACAGG